UACGUAGGUGGCAAGCGUUGUCCGGAAUUAUUGGGCGUAAAGCGCGCGCAGGCGGUCUUUUAAGUCUGCUGUGAAAGCCCACGGCUCAACCGUGGAGGGUCAUUGGAAACUGGGAGACUUGAGUGCAGAAGAGAAGAGUGGAAUUCCACGUGUAGCGGUGAAAUGCGUAGAGAUGUGGAGGAACACCAGUGGCGAAGGCGACUCUUUGGUCUGUAACUGACGCUGAGGCGCGAAAGCGUGGGGAGCAAACAGG
rnacentral:rRNA from 1 species